GCCGCGGUAGCUCAGUGGUAGAGCGCGGCCCUGAAGAGGCCGGCGUCGGGUGUUCAAUUCACCCCCGCGGCACCA
rnacentral:tRNA from 1 species